rnacentral:rRNA from 1 species
UCUUCCACAAUGGGCGAAAGCCGGAUGGAGCAACGCCGCGUGAGUGAAGAAGGAUUUNNNUUCGUNACACUCUGUUGUAAGGGNAGCNCAAGUACAGUAGUAACUGGCUGUACCUUGACGGUACCUUAUUAGAAAGCCACGGCUAACUACGUGCCAGCAGCCGCGGUAAUACGUAGGUGGCAAGCGUUGUCCGGAAUUAUUGGGCGUAAAGUGAGCGGAGGUGGUUUCUUAAGUCUGAUGUAAAAGCCCACGGCUCAACCGUGGAGGGUCAUUGGAAACUGGGAGACAUGAGUGCAAAAGAGGAUAGUGGAAUUCCAAGUGUAGCGGUGAAAUGCGUAGAGAUUUGGAGGAACACCAGUGGCGAAGGCGACUAUCUGGUCUGUAACUGACACUGAGGCGCGAAAGCGUGGGGAGCAAACAGG